CUGGCAUUGCGCUGCUUUAUCAAGAUCAGUAUUUCAGAUCCUCUACCCUAUGGUGUGAGUGAUGGUGAUUUUAGAAUUGCUGUGAGAAAGAAGAAAAGGAAACUAAUCCAGAAAUGAUGGGUGAAAUGCAAGCUGGCAUUUAAUGCUGUGAGAUAAACCUGAAGAGCAGAAAACUAGUCGAUACCAAUCAGGUACAUUUGAUGCUGAGUAGCCAAGAUACAGAGGACUGAAAUUAUAGAGCUGUCUAAAGACCAGAAACCUAAUUUGGGGGGCAACACUGAAAACUUCUGUGUUUCCAUGUAAUCAUGAAUACCAGUGCCUUCCUCUGGUUCUCAACAUAAAUGGAGUUGUAAUGCCGGAUGUGAAUUUAGCCCUCUGUCUUACAUUUGUGAUUGGUCCAGCAUUGUGAAUCUAAGUUGGAUUUAAACUAUCUGCUUGCAAGCUGAAUCUCUUAAAAAAAAGAAACUUUCUUGGGAGUGAGUGGAGAAAGGUCAGGUAGGAGUUUAGGAAUGCUUUGUUGACAGCGUCUGUUCUCUAGUUCAAUGCAUAAUACUGAAGUGAAGAAGGCAUAGCUUACUAUAUUG
rnacentral:lncRNA from 1 species